AUUAGACGUAGUGCUGCACACAUACAUACACACACACACACUCACACAGACAUACACACACACACACACACACACACACACACACACACACACACACAGCACCCCCCAGAACCGCACAAACACACACACACACACACACACACACACACACACACACACACACACACACACACACACACACACACACACACACACACACACACACACACACACGUGCUGACACUGCUCCGCACCUUCAGAAGUCCGUACGCGGACAAGUAGAGAAGGAAUAAAAGCGAAAGUGGCGCACGGUAGCAAAAUCUUACGGCUCGAAGGUGAUGAAACCAUGAAGGAGGAAGAUAAGGAAGAGUAGAGAGCGGGAGAAACCGGGAGACACCGGGAACGGCGUUCCGGUAACGGACCUUCUAGGAGAGCGUCGAAGCGGACGAUGGGCAACUCUUCCUUCCCAGGGCGUGAGAAGAGAAAGGGUCACAUGAUUUCAGCGGGUGAUGUCGAGUUCCCGCGGGAGUACCACACGCUGGCGGACCGCGGCCGCGGCGCCCGGCGUUUCAACGACAACGCCGCCAACGGGGCUUCUCCUGCUCGUCUCUGGACCGGCGAGGCAACGCCCGGAGUCUGGAGGCCCUAAGCACCUCCCACACGGCCGAGGCGGAGCGCCAACGCCAUGGCCUCCUGGACAAGCACAAAGUACCCAGCAGCCCUUGCAGUGCGCCCGCCUCCCAGCUCUCCACCCCUGCCAGACAGCAGCAUAUACAUAUGAGUAGUCAACAACCAAACUACUGGAGUUUCAAG
ensembl:lncRNA